rnacentral:rRNA from 1 species
GUAAUCAUAUGCUUGUCUCAAAGAUUAAGCCAUGCAUGUCUAAGUACAUGCCGAAAUAAGGCGAAACCGCGAAUGGCUCAUUAAAUCAGUUAUGGUUCCUUAGAUCGUUUCUUCCUACUUGGAUAACUGUGGCAAUUCUAGAGCUAAUACAUGCAGUGAGCCUGAAGCCCUUUGGGCGACGGGUGCUUUUAUUAGACCAAGAUCGAUCGGGUUUCGGCCCGUAUUGUGUGGUGACUCUGGAUAACUUUGUGCUGAUCGCAUGGCCACGAGCCGGCGACGUUUCUUUCAAGUGUCUGCCUUAUCAACUUUCGAUGGUAGGUUACUUGCUUACCAUGGUUGUUACGGGUAACGGAGAAUCAGGGUUCGAUUCCGGAGAGGGAGCCUGAGAAACGGCUACCACAUCCAAGGAAGGCAGCAGGCGCGCAAAUUACCCACUCCCGGCACGGGGAGGUAGUGACGAAAAAUAACAAUACGGGACUCUUUUGAGGCCCCGUAAUUGAAAUGAGUACACUCUAAAUCCUUUAACGAGGAUCAAUUGGAGGGCAAGUCUGGUGCCAGCAGCCGCGGUAAUUCCAGCUCCAAUAGCGUAUACUAAAGCUGCUGCGGUUAAAAAGCUCGUAGUUGGAUCUCAGUUCCAGACGAGUAGUGCAUCUACCCGAUGCGACGGCUCGGACUGAACAUCAUGCCGGUCCUUUCUUGGUGCACUUCAUUGUGUGCCUCGAGGAGGCCGGUGCUUUUACUUUGAAAAAAUUAGAGUGCUCAACGCAGGCGAGUCGCCUGAAUAAACUUGCAUGGAAUAAUAGAACAAGACCUCGUUUCUGUUCUGUUGGUUUUUGGAAUACGAGGUAAUGAUUAAGAGGGACAGACGGGGGCAUUCGUAUUGCGGCGCUAGAGGUGAAAUUCUUGGACCGUCGCAAGACGAACUACUGCGAAAGCAUUUGCCAAGAAUGUUUUCUUUGAUCAAGAACGAAAGUCAGAGGUUCGAAGGCGAUCAGAUACCGCCCUAGUUCUGACCAUAAACGAUGCCAACCAGCGAUCCGCCUGAGUUACUCAAAUGACUCGGCGGGCAGCUUCCGGGAAACCAAAGUAUUUGGGUUCCGGGGGAAGUAUGGUUGCAAAGCUGAAACUUAAAGGAAUUGACGGAAGGGCACCACCAGGAGUGGAGCCUGCGGCUUAAUUUGACUCAACACGGGAAAACUUACCCGGCCCGGACACUGGGAGGAUUGACAGAUUGAGAGCUCUUUCUUGAUUCGGUGGAUGGUGGUGCAUGGCCGUUCUUAGUUGGUGGAGCGAUUUGUCUGGUUAAUUCCGAUAACGAACGAGACUCUAGCCUAUUAAAUAGGUGCGGGGUUCCCAGCACCUUACAACCUUCUUAGAGGGACAAGCGGCUCCUAGCCGCACGAAACAGAGCAAUAACAGGUCUGUGAUGCCCUUAGAUGUCCGGGGCCGCACGCGCGCUACACUGAAGGAAGCAGCGUGUCUUUAUCCCUGUCUGAAAAGACUGGGUAACCCGUGGAACUUCUUUCGUGAUUGGGAUAGGGGCUUGCAAUUGUUCCCCUUGAACGAGGAAUUCCCAGUAAGCGCGAGUCAUAAGCUCGCGUUGAUUACGUCCCUGCCCUUUGUACACACCGCCCGUCGCUACUACCGAUUGAAUGAUUUAGUGAGGUCUUCGGACCGAUGUCCGGCGCGGCCUUUCGGUUGCGCCGGUCUGUUGGAAAGAUGACCAAACUUGAUCAUUUAGAGGAAGUAAAAGUCGUAACAAGGUUUCCGUAGGUGAACCUGCGGAAGGAUCAUUA